rnacentral:rRNA from 1 species
UACGUAGGGGGCUAGCGUUGUCCGGAAUCAUUGGGCGUAAAGCGCGUGUAGGCGGUUCGGUAAGUCCGCUGUGAAAGUCGGGGGCUCAACCCUCGGAAGCCGGUGGAUACUGUCGAGCUAGAGUACGGAAGAGGCGAGUGGAAUUCCUGGUGUAGCGGUGAAAUGCGCAGAUAUCAGGAGGAACACCAAUUGCGAAGGCAGCUCGCUGGGACGUUACUGACACUGAGGCGCGAAAGCGUGGGGAGCGAACAGG